AUAAUACUACUCUUGCGUUUCUUAUCAAUAUCAAACAGCAUAUUUUUUUCAGAAAUGGAAAAGGUGAUUUUAAAGUUCAUAUGGAAAUGCAUGGUAUCCUGAAUGCCUAAAACAAUUUUGAAAAGAAGUUGGAAGUCUCACUCUUCCUGAUCUCAAAAUUUACUAUGAAGAAUAAUCAAAAGAAGGCGGUGUUGACAUUGUAAUAGAAUUGAGGGUCCAGAAGUAUUCUUUUCAACAAAUAAUGCUGCUUAAAAAGAGAGGUAAAGGCCAAAGAAUGAAUUCAGACCUCUUUGUUACACCAUUACACACCAUUUACAGAAAUCAGCUCAAAAAGAGAGCAAAGGCCUAAUAUACAACAUAAAGCUGUAAAACUCUGAGAAGGAAGUAGAUAUAAAUAUGCAUGACCUUGGCAUUAGUCAACAGUUGUUAAAUAUGACACCAAAAGCAUAGGUAGUAAAAGACAGAAAGAAAUAAAGAUGUCUUGUUUGUGCUAGUUUGCUAGGUAUGUUGUAACAAAUUAUCAGUCUAUGUGGUACAAAGAAAAGGAAGUUUGUUUUUUGUUUUUGUUUUGUACAGUUCUGGAAUCUGAAAGUCCAAGAUUAAUGUUUUGGAAAGACGGGUUUCUUCUAAAGCUCCUCUCCUUGUCUUACAGAUGGCCUGCUUUUUAUUUCCUCUUUACAUGGUCUUUUCUCUGCCAGGAGAAUGUGUUCCUGAAAUUUCUCUGUCCAACUUUCCUCCACUUCUCAGGACACCAUCCAGAUUGGAUUAGGGCUCUCCCUAAUGACCUCAUUUUUUAUUUUAAUCACCUCAUUAAAGGUCCUCCUUCAAAUAUAGUCUUAUUGUAAAGAGGUGGGUAUUAUGAUUUUAGCAUUUGAAUUUUGAGGAUACACAAUUCAACCC
rnacentral:lncRNA from 1 species